rnacentral:rRNA from 1 species
GAUGAACGCUGGCGGCGUGCCUAAUACAUGCAAGUCGAGCGAACAGACGAGGAGCUUGCUCCUCUAACGUUAGCGGCGGACGGGUGAGUAACACGUGGAUAACCUACCUAUAAGACUGGGAUAACUUCGGGAAACCGGAGCUAAUACCGGAUAAUAUAUUGAACCGCAUGGUUCAAUAGUGAAAGACGGUUUUGCUGUCACUUAUAGAUGGAUCCGCGCCGCAUUAGCUAGUUGGUAAGGUAACAGCUUACCAAGGCAACGAUGCGUAGCCGACCUGAGAGGGUGAUCGGCCACACUGGAACUGAGACACGGUCCAGACUCCUACGGGAGGCAGCAGUAGGGAAUCUUCCGCAAUGGACGAAAGCCUGACGGAGCAACGCCGCGUGAGUGAUGAAGGUCUUCGGAUCGUAAAACUCUGUUAUUAGGGAAGAACAAAUGUGUAAGUAACUAUGCACGUCUUGACGGUACCUAAUCAGAAAGCCACGGCUAACUACGUG